UUGGACUCAACGCCGGGCAGCUCACCGGAUAAGACAGCUGGAUGAUAGCCGGGCUGAAGACUCUGCUUGACUAGCUGAGAGGAGGUGCAUGGCCGUCGUCAGUUCGUACUGUGAAGCAUCCUGUUAAGUCAGGCAACGAGCGAGACCCACGCCAACAGUUGCCAGCAUGUCCUCCGGGAUGAUGGGGACACUGUUGGGACCGCCUCUGCUAAAGAGGAGGAAGGAAUGGGCAACGGUAGGUCAGCAUGCCCCGAAUUAUCCGGGCUACACGCGGGCUACAAUGGUCAGGACAAUGGGUAUCGACACCGAGAGGUGGAGGCAAUCUCCUAAACCUGUCCUUAGUUCGGAUUGUGGGCUGCAACUCGCCCACAUGAAGCUGGAAUCCGUAGUAAUCGCGUUUCAAAAUAGCGCGGUGAAUAUGUCCCUGCUCCUU
rnacentral:rRNA from 1 species